rnacentral:rRNA from 1 species
UACAGAGGGUGCAAGCGUUAAUCGGAAUUACUGGGCGUAAAGCGUGCGUAGGCGGUAGCGUAAGUCGGGUGUGAAAGCCCCGGGCUCAACCUGGGAAUUGCAUUCGAGACUGCUCUGCUAGGGUGCGGAAGAGGGAAGCGGAAUUUCCGGUGUAGCGGUGAAAUGCGUAGAUAUGUGGAGGAAUACCGAUGGCGAAGGCAGCCUCCUGGGCCAACACUGACGCUCAUGCACGAAAGCGUGGGGAGCAAACAGG